CGAAAGCCUGACGGAGCAAGACCGCGUGAGGGAUGAAGGCUCUUGGGUUGUAAACCUCUUUUCUCAGGGAAGAAACCUGACGGUACCUGAGGAAUAAGCAUCGGCUAACUCCGUGCCAGCAGCCGCGGUAAUACGGAGGAUGCAAGCGUUAUCCGGAAUUAUUGGGCGUAAAGCGUUCGCAGGUGGCUGUUCAAGUCUGCUGUCAAAGACCGGGGCUUAACCCUAGAAAGGCAGUGGAAACUGAGCGGCUAGAGUGCAGUAUGGGUAGAGGGAAUUCCCAGCGUAGCGGUGAAAUGCGUGGAGAUUGGGAAGAACACCGGUGGCGAAAGCGCUCUGCUGGACUGCAACUGACACUGAGGGACGAAAGCUCAGGGGAGCG
rnacentral:rRNA from 1 species